GAUGAGCCCCUUUAUGUAUAUAUAUGUAUGUAUGUAUAGGUUAUUGUGAGAGAAAGGAGGACCGGCGUAUCCGGCUGUGGGGAGUCGGUCUUGCCGAGCCGAGCCCAGAGGGCGGUGUGGGGGACCAGCGCCGGUCCUAGCCGGGCCUCAGCCGGCCCUCAUACCUACUAAUCUUAUAAGAGGUGCUUAUUCGAAUACUACCAAGGAAGAGAAGUCAGAAGAGGUGAUUAUUCGUCCUGAUGUCAGCUUAUUAGUUUUGAGUAACUAAGCAAAUUAGAGCCACAAUCAAAUUCCAAUAAUUUACCCUUCAUUAUGCUUCAACAGGUUACAUCAUUUCCUUACAAAUAGAUUUCCGCCGAACACUACCGUUGACAAAAUCUCAGACCAAUGAUUGAAUGGAGAGUAUUCAAAUGGGCUGCACUUUUCAUGGAACAUGAAGAAAAGAAGAUGGAGAUGCUUUUGGAACUUGGUUUAAUAGAGGAGAGUGCACUUUCGUCCUUAAUUUAUAUAAACAUGACAUGUUGAAGACCUGUUUUAAAUUUUAAAUUUGGCACUAUCUUAACCAAUAAUUUGCGGCAUCUACUUUAAUACUAA